rnacentral:rRNA from 1 species
GUACUUUUUGUAGAACGGACCGGCGAGUUACGUUAUGCAGCAAGGUUAAGAACUGAAGGUUCGGAGCCGAAGCGAAAGCGAGUCUGAAUAGGGCGAAAGUUGCAUGACGUAGACCCGAAACCGGGUGACCUAUCCAUGAGCAGGUUGAAGUGGAGGUAAAGCUCCAUGGAGGACCGAACCAGACGUCUGUUGAAAAAGGCGGGGAUGACUUGUGGAUAGGGGAGAAAUUCCAAUCGAACCCGGAGAUAGCUGGUUCUCCUCGAAAUAGCUUUAGGGCUAGCCUCAUGGAUCAUUGGUGGGGGUAGAGCACUGAAUGUGCGCGGGGGCCACAAAGCCUACCAAACGCUAUCAAACUUCGAAUACCAUACAAUGCAGACCAUGGGAGUCAGUCCGCGAGAGAUAAGUUCCGCGGGCAAAAGGGGAACACCCCAGAUCAACCGCUAAGGUCCCCAAGUUCACGUUAAGUGGAGAAGGAUGUGGAAUUGCACAGACAACCAGGAUGUUGGCUCAGAAGCAGCCACACAUUUAAAGAGUGCGUAAUAGCUCACUGGUCGAGUGAUUGUGCGCCGAAGAUGUCCGGGGCUAAACGUGACACCGAAGCGAUGGGUGCAUCUGAAGAAGAUGCGCGGUAGAGGAGCAAUGUGCAGAGGCAGAAGCCGUAUCGAGAGGCACGGUGGACACUGCACAAGAGAGAAUGCCGGUAUGAGUAGCGAGAGGCAUGCGAGAAACAUGCCCGUCGAAAGCCCAAGGUUUCCUGGGGAAGGUUCAUCCGCCCAGGGUAAGUCGGGGCCUAAGCCGAGGACGGAAGUCGUAGGCGAUGGACAGCAGGUGUAGAUUCCUGCACUACCGAUGGAAUGAAGCAGUGACACAGAAGGAUAACUCGAGCAGGGUGAUGGUCAACCCUGUGCAAGCAUCAAGGUUGGGUUGUAGUGAAGUACGCAACCCUAUAAGCUGAGGUGUGAUGCGGACCGAAAUUUCAGUAGGGAAGCGAGUGAGUUCACGCUGGCGAGAAAAGCUGCUAGUAUAUCCAAAGGUACCCGUACCGGAAACCGACGCAGGUGGGCGAGGAGAGAAUCCUGAGACGAACGGGAGAACCCUUGUUAAGGAACUCGGCAAAAUGACCCCGUAACUUCGGGAUAAGGGGUGCCUGCGAGAGCAGGCCGCAGAGAAUAGUCACAAGCGACUGUUUAGCAAAAACACAGGUAUCUGCGAAAGCGAGAGCUGACGUAUAGGUGCUGACACCUGCCCGGUGCUGGAAGGUUAAGGGAACAUGUUAGAGCAAUCGAAGCAUCGAACCGAAGCCCCAGUAAACGGCGGCCGUAACUAUAACGGUCCUAAGGUAGCGAAAUUCCUUGUCGGGUAAGUUCCGACCCGCACGAAUGGUGUAACGACUUGUGAGCUGUCUCAACAGGGGGCCCGGUGAAAUUGAAGUAUGGGUGAAGAUGCCCAUUACCCGCGACUGGACGGAAAGACCCCGUAGAGCUUUACUGCAGCCUGAUAUUGAGUUUCGGUAACUGAUGCACAGGAUAGGUGGGAGUCUGAGAGACACGGGUUUCGGCUCGUGUGGAGACGAUGUUGGGAUACCACUCUUCGGUUACUGAAAUUCUAACAUAGCUCUGUGAAACCAGAGGAUGGACAGUGUCAGGUGGACAGUUUGACUGGGGCGGUCGCCUCCGAAAGAGUAACGGAGGCGCCCAAAGGUACCCUCAGAAUGGAUGGAAACCAUUCGAAGAGCGCAAAGGCAGAAGGGUGCCUGACUGCGAGAUUGACAAAUCGAGCAGAGACGAAAGUCGGGCUUAGUGAUCCGGCGGUAU